GAUGAACGCUGGCGGCGUGCCUAAUACAUGCAAGUAGAACGCUGAAGCUUGGUGCUUGCACCGAGCGGAUGAGUUGCGAACGGGUGAGUAACGCGUAGGUAACCUGCCUCUUAGCGGGGGAUAACUAUUGGAAACGAUAGCUAAUACCGCAUAAAAGUCGAUAUCGAAUGAUAUUGAUUUGAAAGGUGCAAAUGCAUCACUAAGAGAUGGACCUGCGUUGUAUUAGCUAGUUGGUGAGGUAACGGCUCACCAAGGCGACGAUACAUAGCCGACCUGAGAGGGUGAUCGGCCACACUGGGACUGAGACACGGCCCAGACUCCUACGGGAGGCAGCAGUAGGGAAUCUUCGGCAAUGGGGGCAACCCUGACCGAGCAACGCCGCGUGAGUGAAGAAGGUUUUCGGAUCGUAAAGCUCUGUUGUAAGAGAAGAACGAGUGUGAGAGUGGAAAGUUCACACUGUGACGGUAACUUACCAGAAAGGGACGGCUAACUACGUG
rnacentral:rRNA from 1 species